rnacentral:rRNA from 1 species
GACGAACGCUGGCGGCGUGCCUAAUACAUGCAAGUUGAGCGCUGAAGGAUGGUACUUGUACCAACUGGAUGAGCAGCGAACGGGUGAGUAACGCGUGGGGAAUCUGCCUUUUAUCGGGGGACAACAUUUGGAAACGAAUGCUAAUACCGCAUAAAAACUUUAAACACAAGUUUUAAGUUUGAAAGAUGCCAUUGCAUCACUCAAAGAUGAUCCCGCGUUGUAUUAGCUAGUUGGUGAGGUAAAGGCUCACCAAGGCGAUGAUACAUAGCCGACCUGAGAGGGUGAUCGGCCACAUUGGGACUGAGACACGGCCCAAACUCCUACGGGAGGCAGCAGUAGGGAAUCUUCGGAAAUGGACGAAAGUCUGACCGAGCAACGCCGCGUGAGUGAAGAAGGGUUUCGGAUCGUAAAACUCUGUUGGUAGAGAAGAACGUUGGUGAGAGUGGAAAGCUCAUCAAGUGACGGUAACUACCCAGAAAGGGACGGCUAACUACGUG